GCCUAAACUAGGCAACUGUUCCCACAUUGGGACUUGAACCUUUUUUUUGUCUAAAUUAGUCCUUAAACUUGACAAUUGUUUCCAUGAUGGGGCCUAACUUGGACUAUAAAAAAAUUUAGGCUCUAAUGUGGGAACGACUGCCAAGUUUAGG
rnacentral:pre_miRNA from 1 species